CCUACGGGCGGCUGCAGUGGGGAAUAUUGGACAAUGGGGGCAACCCUGAUCCAGCCAUGCCGCGUGUGUGAAGAAGGCCCUCGGGUUGUAAAGCACUUUCAGUGAGGAAGAACGCCUGGUGGUUAAUACCCAUCAGGAAAGACAUCACUCACAGAAGAAGCACUGGCUAACUCCGUGCCAGCAGCCGCGGUAAUACGGAGGGUGCGAGCGUUAAUCGGAAUUACUGGGCGUAAAGCGCGCGUAGGUGGCUUGAUAAGCCGGUUGUGAAAGCCCCGGGCUCAACCUGGGAACGGCAUCCGGAACUGUCAAGCUAGAGUGCAGGAGAGGAAGGUAGAAUUCCCGGUGUAGCGGUGAAAUGCGUAGAGAUCGGGAGGAAUACCAGUGGCGAAGGCGGCCUUCUGGACUGACACUGACACUGAGGUGCGAAAGCGUGGGUAGCAAACAGGAUUAGAUACCCCGGUAGUC
rnacentral:rRNA from 1 species